CGAAAGGAAGAUUAAUACCCCAUAGGUAUUUCUUUGUCAUGUUAGAAAUAUUAAAGGAGCAAUCCGCUAUGAGAUGGACCCGCGUCGCAUUAGCUAGUUGGUGAGGUAACGGCUCACCAAGGCGACGAUGCGUAGCCGACCUGAGAGGGUGAUCGGCCACAUUGGGACUGAGACACGGCCCAGACUCCUACGGGAGGCAGCAGUGGGGAAUAUUGCACAAUGGGGGAAACCCUGAUGCAGCAACGCCGCGUGAGUGAUGACGGUCUUCGGAUUGUAAAGCUCUGUCUUUAGGGACGAUAAUGACGGUACCUAAGGAGGAAGCCACGGCUAACUACGUGC
rnacentral:rRNA from 1 species